AUUGAACGCUGGCGGCAGGCCUAACACAUGCAAGUCGAACGGUAACAGGAAGAAGCUUGCUUCUUUGCUGACGAGUGGCGGACGGGUGAGUAAUGUCUGGGAAACUGCCUGAUGGAGGGGGAUAACUACUGGAAACGGUAGCUAAUACCGCAUAACGUCGCAAGACCAAAAAGGGGGACCUUCGGGCCUCUUGCCAUCGGAUGUGCCCAGAUGGGAUUAGCUAGUAGGUGGGGUAACGGCUCACCUAGGCGACGAUCCCUAGCUGGUCUGAGAGGAUGACAGGCCAAACUGGAACGGAAACCCGUUCCAGCCCCCGAGGGAGGGAGCCAGGGGGAAUAUUUGAACAAGGGGGGAAGCCCUGAUGCAGCCCGGCGGGGGGAGUGAAGAAGUCUUUCGGUUUUUAAAGUACUUUGGGGGGGGGGGAAGGGAGAAAAUUUAAUACUUUCCCGCAUUGACUUUCCCCGAAAAAAAAGCCCCGGCUAACCCCGUG
rnacentral:rRNA from 1 species